rfam:Deltaproteobacteria bacterium RBG_16_49_23 RBG_16_scaffold_1488, whole genome shotgun sequence.
GUUAGAGGACGGGUUCCAUUAAAACAAGGAUUGAAAC